GGGAAGAGGCAUCCUUGUGCCAUGUCGGAAUUAAAUCAUUGAUCCCAGAAGAAAGGGACCACCACAGUGCUACGGAAAACAGGAAUUGUGAGAAGUUAUGGGAUCCAUUUUAGCUUGAUUUACUCACAGACUCCUUAAGCACACUUCAUAAGAUGAGGAAACUGAGACACUGGAAGAGGAAGUAACUUGCCCAAUGUCACUCAGCCAGGAAGAGGUGGAACCCAGCAUUGAAAUCCAGACAGUCUAACUCCAAAACAAAUAAACAAUACCACCACACUUUUAUCUUCUAGGCUAUACAUUUCUAAUGGCCAAUGAAGAAAACAAACUGAAAACAAAAUUCCUCCUUCCUGCUCUUGCUUAUUCCUAAUGGCUGUUCUUUUUAGCUCAUGUAGAAAAUAAAGUAGUAACAUGUUUCAGUACUUAUUGUAGCUCUAGUAAUUUCAGCUUGUAAAUUUGCUUUGGAAACCUUAGUGUUUAAAUAUUAAUCAAACAGAUGCAACUUUCCAAGCAACUGUUGUCAGAGAAAGAUCAACAUUCGUUAGAUUUUUACUUACUGACAAGUUAAAAAUAAGAUUAUGGUAGCUUUCCUACCUCCUGAAAAUCUGUUGCUCUUUAAGCCCCUCGUCAGAUUCAAAAGAAAUAUUUUGCACUCAACUUUAAAGCAGAGAUAUAUAAAAAUCAGCAAAUAAAUGAAAAAGUGAUUAAAUUCUUUAUUAAAGAUUUACCAAAAAAUAAUCCUUUAACUAUGUAAUCCUACAAUUGUUUUCAAAUACAAAUGAUUUUCCCCAUGUUUAGAUGUAUGUAUUUAAUGAAUACAACUCAGUAUAAUGAUCUUCCUAAAAAUGCCCCUUUUGUUUCCUUUUCUGAGACUUCUAAUGUAUUAAAAAAUAUAUAAUGCCAAAAAGCUUUUAUUAAAUUGUGAAAAAUUUAAAAUUUCCACACUUGUUAAAGAAAUACUUUUAAGCACACACAUGUGCAGUGAUUUGCUUGUAUUUUUCCCUUGAUGGUAACGGGAUUUAGA
rnacentral:lncRNA from 1 species